GGUGGCGCAAGCAACCGCCGGAUGCGAAGGUUUCAGCUGCAGUACCCUUCUAUACAUAUGAUACGUGUAUUUUCCCGAUUUUCCUACUACUUUUCGCUGUGAUUUGUAGCUGCAUGCUGCCGGUGCACUGUCACGCGGUCUCGCUGUCUGGCCGCGGAGGUACGACGCACAGGCUAUCAAGAUGAGCAAACCUAAGAGUUAACGUGACAACUACCAAAUCCCCGGAUGGAACCUGCUGGGCAGUCCUUGUAGUCAUGGGGAUCAUGAAACGAGCGCGGGGAUUGGAUGCCGCCAGGGAGAUCGCCUUUCUGGACUCAACUGCAUCAUGCGACGAGUCCCAGAGCUCAGGGAUGGUGGUGCUGGCAGCAACCCCAGCCAGUGCCAUACCCCCGGCUGUACUGCUGCAUAGUUCUCAAAGCACUGAGAGGCACCCAAAGCAUUCAUGACUGAUAAUUCUGCAGUGGAAAAAGCUACUCUGCAAACCACCUGGCCCGUGGCAACCCAACUUCUGUGCCAUGUUCAUGCUGCUCAAGCAGAAUGGCGCUGGCUCCAGGCAUCGCGCAACAACGUCAGCUAAGAUGAAAGGCGGGAACUAAUGUCUAAAUUACAAAAGGUAGAUGCAAAUUUACUGUGUGUUCUUAUCAUGUUCUGAUGCAAUCCCUGCUAUCACUUGUUACGGCUGCAUGAACUUUUGUAUAAUGGAAAGCCUUCUUGGCAAUACGUUGGCUGCAGUUGUUGAAGAUGCAGUUUUUUCCCUUUUUUGGAAUAAAUUUAAUAAAAAGAGAAUGAUUUGGCUGCAAAGAGUGCCUCACACAAAUAGGUCAGUUAGUUUAUGUCCCUUUAUAACUAUGGGGAAAAAAAGUUUCUGGUGAAAGGUGUAGCUCAUUCAUCCAUAAAAUGAACAUACUUCCAA
rnacentral:lncRNA from 1 species